rnacentral:rRNA from 1 species
AGUGGGAGCACCCUUCGGGGUGUGACUGCGUACCUUUUGUAUAAUGGGUCAGCGACUUAUAUUCUGUAGCAAGGUUAACCGAAUAGGGGAGCCGGAGGGAAACCGAGUCUUAAUUGGGCGUUAAGUUGCAGGGUAUAGACCCGAAACCCGGUGAUCUAGCCAUGGGCAGGUUGAAGGUUGGGUAACACUAACUGGAGGACCGAACCGACUAAUGUUGAAAAAUUAGCGGAUGACCUGUGGCUGGGGGUGAAAGGCCAAUCAAACCGGGAGAUAGCUGGUUCUCCCCGAAAGCUAUUUAGGUAGCGCCUCGUGAAUUCAUCUCCGGGGGUAGAGCACUGUUUCGGCUAGGGGGCCAUCCCGGCUUACCAACCCGAUGCAAACUGCGAAUACCGGAGAAUGUUAUCACGGGAGACACACGGCGGGUGCUAACGUCCGUCGUGAAGAGGGAAACAACCCAGACCGCCAGCUAAGGUCCCAAAGUCAUGGUUAAGUGGGAAACGAUGUGGGAAGGCCCAGACAGCCAGGAUGUUGGCUUAGAAGCAGCCAUCAUUUAAAGAAAGCGUAAUAGCUCACUGGUCGAGUCGGCCUGCGCGGAAGAUGUAACGGGGCUAAACCAUGCACCGAAGCUGCGGCAGCGACACUGUGUGUUGUUGGGUAGGGGAGCGUUCUGUAAGCCUGCGAAGGUGGCCUGUGAGGGUUGCUGGAGGUAUCAGAAGUGCGAAUGCUGACAUAAGUAACGAUAAAGCGGGUGAAAAGCCCGCUCGCCGGAAGACCAAGGGUUCCUGUCCAACGUUAAUCGGGGCAGGGUGAGUCGACCCCUAAGGCGAGGCCGAAAGGCGUAGUCGAUGGGAAACGGGUUAAUAUUCCCGUACUUGGUGUUACUGCGAAGGGGGGACGGAGAAGGCUAUGUUGGCCGGGCGACGGUUGUCCCGGUUUAAGCGUGUAGGUGUGUGUUCCAGGUAAAUCCGGUUCACUUUAACACUGAGGCGUGAUGACGAGGCACUACGGUGCUGAAGCAACAAAUGCCCUGCUUCCAGGAAAAGCCUCUAAGCAUCAGGUAACAUCAAAUCGUACCCCAAACCGACACAGGUGGUCAGGUAGAGAAUACCAAGGCGCUUGAGAGAACUCGGGUGAAGGAACUAGGCAAAAUGGUGCCGUAACUUCGGGAGAAGGCACGCUGACACGUAGGUGAAGUGAUUUACUCAUGGAGCUGAAGUCAGUCGAAGAUACCAGCUGGCUGCAACUGUUUAUUAAAAACACAGCACUGUGCAAACACGAAAGUGGACGUAUACGGUGUGACGCCUGCCCGGUGCCGGAAGGUUAAUUGAUGGGGUCAGCGCAAGCGAAGCUCCUGAUCGAAGCCCCGGUAAACGGCGGCCGUAACUAUAACGGUCCUAAGGUAGCGAAAUUCCUUGUCGGGUAAGUUCCGACCUGCACGAAUGGCGUAAUGAUGGCCAGGCUGUCUCCACCCGAGACUCAGUGAAAUUGAACUCGCUGUGAAGAUGCAGUGUACCCGCGGCAAGACGGAAAGACCCCGUGAACCUUUACUAUAGCUUGACACUGAACAUUGAGCCUUGAUGUGUAG